GCCUGCCGCCACAUAAGAUGUGCCUUUGCUUUUCCUUCGCCUUCCACCAUGAUUGUGAGGCUUCUCCAGCCAUGUGGAACUGUGAGUCCAUUAAACCUCUUUCCUUUAUAAAUUACAGUCUCAGGUAUGUCUUUAUUAGCAGCAUGAGAAUGGACUAAUACAGCAGCUGAGAAUCCACAGCUCUCCUGAUGCUGCUGGCUCAGGGAGCAAACUUGAAAAGCAAAGUCUUAAAGAAUAAGCAAGACGUUCUGAAGCAGUGAAGAGAGUAAAAGGUGUUCAAGCAAAAAGGAAGUACAUAUCCAGAAAGGUGUGGAAGUCUGAAAGAGCAUGGUGUGUUUGGGAAACAGCAAGACUUUAGAUGAAGCAGCACCCCCAGCAUGGCAAAGCAGGAGAAAAAGACAGAAAGGUGGCUGUCUUGGAGAGAAGCAAUCAGAAAUAACAAACCAUGAUAAAGAAAGGAAAGACUGAUGGGCUUGUGAUCAGUGAAGGAAGGCAGUAACUAUGGAAAACAACAUGUCUUCACUAGGAAUACUUCCACUAGGUGGUGGCGGGCACCUGUAGUCCCUGGAGGCUGAGGCAGGAGAAUGGCGUGAACCCGGGAGGCGGAGCUUGCAGUAAGCUGAGAUUGCGUCACUGCACUCCAGCAUGGGUGACAGAGCGAGACUCCGUCUCAAAAAAUAAAAAUAAAUAAAGUUUGUAAAUAAAGUUUAUAUUGUAAAUAAUAAAUAAAAGUUUUGGUUUUUAAAGUUUAUUAAAUGUUUUCUCUCACUGUAGUUAGAAUUAUCUAAUAUGUGAAAUUUGCUUAUGUUGAAAAUUCAAGGAAGUAAAUAAGUUGUACUUCAAAGAGAAAAAAAUAUUAUGACAUUACUAUCAACAAUAAACCUUAGUAUCAUCAAGUUGUAAUGUGAGAUUGCGGGCAAUCCAAUUCACAGGAGUAAAUGUGUGAUUGAAGGAAGAGCUCCUUGCAAAGCUGGGUUUGGGAUGGUCCUUAAAGAAUAAGAAAUAUAUUAAAAUAAAAAAACUUUAAAAUAAAAAAAUAAUCAAUGGACUAGACUUUAUCUACUUUAGAAAAGUCUACUGCAGGUGAAGGGCUGUUGGCGUGAGUCCCAACAGAAGCUGGGGUGCCUACCAUCUCCUAGGACAGAAGCUGUUCUGCCCACUUGGGCUUGUUUGAGCACUUCUCCUUUGUAACCUGAAGCAUCAGGUAUUCUAAUCUAGUGGUUCCCCACUGGGGGUGAUUUUACCCUCCAGCAGGGAAUGUGGCACUAUCUGGAAGCAUUUUUGGCUGUCAUGACUUGCAGAAGGGGGGUUGUACCUGCCAUAUACUGGGUAGGGCCAAGGAUGCUGCCAAACAUGGUAUAAUACAGAAACCGGCCCCCUCAACAAAGAAUUAUCCAGCCCAAAAUGUCAACAGUGCUAAGGCUGAGAAAUGCAGCACCAAUCCUACCGGGAGAAUUACUUUUCAAAUUUGAAUCUUCUUCUGUGACAAAGGAAUGUGUGUCCAGAGAGUUCAGUGUAUUCAUCCUACAUUUACAUAUAAUUGUGUUACUCAUAUAUAAUCAGAUAUGAGUGUAUAUAUUAUGUAAUUAUAUAUCUAAUAUAUAAUUAUAUCCUUGAUCAAGAUCAAUUAAUUCAUUGUUCCUUCCUCUUAAUUGUGCUCCUAGUAAAAUGUCUUUUUUGUCUGUAUAUCAAGUGGUAAUUCCGCUUCCCCUUUCUUUCCAUACAUUCUUUUGUAUGACUUCUACAAAAAAAUUAAGAACAUAUAUAUGGUAACCAAUUCUUUGUGUCAAAUAUAUAAUUAUUACAUAUUAAAAUAUUCUAGAAGCUCAAAAAUAUUAAA
rnacentral:lncRNA from 1 species